rnacentral:lncRNA from 1 species
CAGAACUGUUUCUUCUCGCACGCAUGGCGCCAACUGUUAGGUCGCCACGCACCUUUGUUUAUGCACGCCUGGACCGGAAAUGGUCAUACGACUUGCGGAGGAGUUCAGUUUGGGCGCAAAAGAUGGCGAAUCGUUCUGCAAACGAAUAACCAACUUCAUAUAUGUAUGGUGCUUUGACGACCUAUAGUAACCAGACUUGUCAUAACUGUUGGAAUGCACAGAACUGCUUGGUGCAUGCUAUAUAUACAAAUCUCACGUGGCCUGUAACACGUAGUAAAGACUGUUUAGAAUUGUGCGAUAAUACCACAGACUGUCAUGUGGCAACACUGGACAAAGAUAGCUACUGUCAUCUGUAUAACUGUAGUUAUCUCAGCCAGGAAAUAGGCGCAACGACAUUCAGGAAAACGAACAAUUCCGACUGCCUGGAAUUUGAGAUAUUUAUUCAUAAGGGAUAUGAGGGAAAAUGUUCCUCUG